rnacentral:sRNA from 1 species
AUCUCUUUGGCUACUAUCAAAGCUGCUUCCCAGAAUAUGAUUUUUCCAAGUCCUGGUUCCUGUGCAGUUCUUAAAAAGAAAGAGUGUGAGAAAGAGAAUAAGAAGUCCAAAAAGGAAAAAAAGAAAAAAGAAAAGGCAGAAGUUAGGCCCAGGGGUAAUUUGUUUGGAGAGAUGGCCCAGCUGGCAGUAGGAGGACCAGAGAAAGAUACCAUCUGUGAACUGUGUGGGGAGUCACAUCCGUACCCGGUGACCUAUCACAUGAGACAAGCUCACCCAGGUUGUGGCCGAUAUGCUGGUGGACAAGGUUACAAUAGCAUUGGGCAUUUUUGUGGAGGAUGGGCUGGUAACUGUGGUGAUGGUGGCAUAGGAGGAAGCACUUGGUAUCUGGUAUGCGAUCGCUGUAGAGAAAAAUACCUCCGCGAAAAACAGGCUGCUGCAAGGGAGAAGGUCAAACAGUCUAGGAGAAAACCAAUGCAAGUCAAGACCCCUCGCGCCUUGCCCACCAUGGAAGCUCACCAGGCAUCAUCAUGAAAAUUUUGUGGGCUAUCAAGAUGACAACCUAUUCC